GCAGCGCUGUGUGCACAGUCUCCCAUCUGUGUCUGGUGGUAGGGUCUGUGUGUGUUUUGCACAUAGACUGUACUGCUCACACAAAACCUGUGGCCAAAGAUGAACCUGAGAUCAUAGUACUGGUUUAGUGAUGUCUGCCCGCUGACCAGCCUCCACACUCUCAAACAUCU
ensembl:snoRNA SNORA23 small nucleolar RNA SNORA23